ACAGCAGAUUCUUCAGCUAAGCUUCCAUUUACUGCAUUAUCAGACAAAAGCUUUAAUGCAUCUCUUUGUUGCUGCUGCAGCUGUUCCUCCUCAGCCCUCCUCUUGGCCACAGCAAUUUCUUCCUCUUCCCUUACUUCGUCAGCCAAGUCCUCCUCCUUUUCCCGUAUCCUCUUCCUCCUCUUUUCCUCUAACACACUUCUACGCCAUCUUUUUCGGGAAUCAUCUUCAUCUUCUUCUUCGUCAUAAAGGAUCUCUUUCUUUCGUUUGCGUUCCCUCUCUUUUUCCUUCUCCUUCUCAUAUUGCCGUUCUUUCUCUCUCUCUCUUUCUCUGUACUCCCAAUCUUUGAGACACCUUUCAUACUCCCGCUCG
rnacentral:lncRNA from 1 species